UACGGGGGGUGCGAGCGUUGUCCGGAAUCACUGGGCGUAAAGGGCGCGUAGGUGGCCUGAUAAGGGUGUGGUGAAAGUCCGGGGCUUAACCCCGGAUCUGCCGUGCCGACUGUUAGGCUAGAGUGCUGUAGGGGCAGGCGGAAUUCCGGGUGUAGCGGUGGAAUGCGUAGAGAUCCGGAGGAAGACCGGUGGCGAAGGCGGCCUGCUGGGCAGAUACUGACACUGAGGCGCGACAGCGUGGGAGCAAACAGG
rnacentral:rRNA from 1 species